ACACUUAGGCAGGAGUAUCUCCAUAGCACUUUAUAGGAGUGGAAUUGCUAGGGUAUUGGGGUAGGCUGACAAUGCCUCCCAAAGAUAUGUCCGCAUCCUAAUCCUUCAAACCUAUGACCUUAUUUGGAAAAAGAGUUUUAGCAAAUGUAAUUAAGUUAAAGAUCUUGAGAUAGGGAAAUUAUCCUGAAUUAUCCUAGUGAGCCCUAAUUGCAAUCCAACUGUCCUUAUAAAGUGGGAGCCAGAAGGAGAUUUGAAUCCAGACAGAAGAGAAGGCAAGGUACCUUGUCAACACCUUGAUUUCAGUCCAGUGAAACUGAUGUUAAACUUCUGGUCUCCAGAACUGUGAGGGAAUAAACUACUAUUGUUUUAAGUCCUCAAGUUUGUGGUGAUUUGCCACAGCAGACACCGGAAACUAAUACAGAAACAGCACUUUUCUUCAUGACAGAGGCUCCAAGGACACCGAAGGGGUUGAACUACAGACCCAGCUGCAACCUGAGGAGGUAUCUCAACAACCACACAAUAAUGGAGGAAAGAGAGAACUGAGGAAGUGGGGCUCUGAGCACAGAUCUAGCUUGGACAUGAGCAGAUUUUUCUUUAAUGUUUUGCAUAUUAGGUUUGAUAUACGAUUUUAUGUGGAAAAAAAAAGCUUUCACUUACUCAUUUUUGAAAAUCCUGGACUCUGGACAAUUCUUCACAUUGAACAAACAAAAGUUUCCAUAAUUGCAGAAUCUUCUAUGUUUGAUGUUUCUGGGAAGUAGACUCUUCAUAAAGGUGUGAUUUAAUGCAGAUUGGGGACAUAAGUCUGAACAAGCUCAUUAGUCUGCAUAUUACCUACAGGAUUUAUUGAUGAUGGUAUGAAACUAUCUGACAGCCGUCAGCCAGGAACAAUGUAUGCAUAAACCAGGGGAUGAGAAACAGGGUCAACAAACAUCAUGUGGUCAGAAAAUGUCGUUACCUAGGUUAACUACUAA